AUACGAAGGGGGCUAGCGUUGUUCGGAAUCACUGGGCGUAAAGCGCGCGUAGGUGGAUCAAUUAGUUGAGGGUGAAAUCCCGGGGCUCAACCUCGGGACUGCCUUCAAUACUGUUGAUCUUGAGACCGAGAGAGGUGAGUGGAAUUCCUAGUGUAGAGGUGAAAUUCGUAGAUAUUAGGAAGAACACCAGUGGCGAAGGCGGCUCACUGGCUCGGUACUGACGCUGAGGUGCGAAAGCGUGGGGAGCAAACAGGAUUAGAUACCCCAGUAGUCC
rnacentral:rRNA from 1 species